GAGGGUAUAGCCCAGUGGUAGAGCAUGUGCUUAGCAUGCACGAGGUCCUGGGUUCAAUCCUCAGUACCUCCA
rnacentral:tRNA from 1 species